rnacentral:lncRNA from 1 species
AAAAACUUAUGUUUCUUUGGGGUAUAGCGUAAACCAGUUAAGCGCCCAUCCCAACCGUUGAGAAUACUUUCUUCUGAAAUAAAUCCCAUGCUUUCCUGUACCCCAUUCACGAAAUUGGCCACAUUUUCUUGUAUGGCCUGCUCGAAAUACUUCAAGCAUAGGAUAAUGUUUUAUUUUAAGAUAAGGUUCUAUUGCAUCCUGGUACCAUAAGUCACAUACAUAUUUUGUUCUUCUUUUUCUAUUCAGAACAGCGACAAACUCAAAACUAACACUACUAUUGUAUGGUAUAGUU